UACGUAGGGGGGCAAGCGUUGUCCGGAUUUAUUGGGCGUAAAGAGCGUGUAGGCGGCCGUACAGGUCAGCUGUGAAAACUCGAGGCUCAACCUCGAGACGUCGGUUGAAACCGUAUGGCUAGAGUCCGGAAGAGGAGAGUGGAAUUCCCGGUGUAGCGGUGAAAUGCGCAGAUAUCGGGAAGAACACCCGUGGCGAAGGCGGCUCUCUGGGACGGUACUGACGCUGAGACGCGAAAGCGUGGGGGAGCGAACAGG
rnacentral:rRNA from 1 species